UGCCCGGUGGUGUAAUCGGUAACACACCAGAAUUUGGAUCUGGGUUUCCUGGUUCGAGUCCAGGCUGGGCAG
rnacentral:tRNA from 1 species